UGACCUGGCGGCUGCUUUACACACUGCAGUCUAAACGGUACAGGCCGCAGGUGCUGACGAGUGGCGAACGGGUGAGUAAUGCAUCGGAACGUGCCCAGUCGUGGGGGAUAACGCAGCGAAAGCUGUGCUAAUACCGCAUACGAUCUAUGGAUGAAAGCGGGGGACCGUAAGGCCUCGCGCGAUUGGAGCGGCCGAUGUCAGAUUAGUAGUUGGUGGGGUAAAGGCCCACCAAGGCGACGAUCUGUAGCUGGUCUGAGAGGACGACCAGCCACACUGGAACUGAGACACGGUCCAGACUCCUACGGGAGGCAGCAGUGGGGAAUUUUGGACAAUGGGCGCAAGCCUGAUCCAGCAAUGCCGCGUGCAGGAUGAAGGCCUUCGGGUUGUAAACUGCUUUUGUACGGAACGAAACGGUGAGCUCUAAUAAAGUUUGCUAAUGACGGUACCGUAAGAAUAAGCACCGGCUAACUACGUGCCAGCAGCCGCGGUAAUACGUAGGGUGCGAGCGUUAAUCGGAAUUACUGGGCGUAAAGCGUGCGCAGGCGGUUAUGUAAGACAGAUGUGAAAUCCCCGGGCUCAACCUGGGACCUGCAUUUGUGACUGCAUAGCUAGAGUACGGUAGAGGGGGAUGGAAUUCCGCGUGUAGCAGUGAAAUGCGUAGAUAUGCGGAGGAACACCGAUGGCGAAGGC
rnacentral:rRNA from 1 species